UAGAAAAUUAAGUCAACCUAAGUUACCUCAGUGUACAGUUGCCACAGUAAUUAAAUCGCUUUUGCAUAUCCAUACUACACUCCUUGUGUCAUCGAUGUGCAUCCUCACUAGGAGUACUUGCAUCGAUACACAGAGCAGUGCACUCACUGUGCAACUUGCCACCAUCUAGCACAAGGUGUUUUGGGAAGGGUCUUCAAUGUCUCAUGGGGACAAAUAAGUCACACAGAGGUGACUGGAAACAUAAUUUCAAUGUCCCAUGAUUCAGUUUUCUCCAUCCCAUAUUUUUAUCUGCAUCCCAUAAUGUUUCGCACCUCUUUUCAAAAGCCCCACAAGCCUGCACAUCUGCCAUCUCUGUGAGAAGACUGGAUCCUGCACAGAUCUGCACUGUUGUGAUGAGCAUUGUGAGCGCAACAUGCCUGAUCCUGCAGUAUUUCCAGAGCCAUGCGGAAUAUGACAAUUCCUUGCAGACUGGCUUGCCAUGCGUCAUGGAAAGAAACAAUUCACGUUUAUCGUUGGCAGUCACGGAGCAGUUGCAGACAGUGGAGCACUGGUUCUGGACCUGAGAAAGAAGCACUGGCUGGUGGGAUCACAUUCUUAUGCAGGUAUAGGAUAACGAGCUGUGGCUGCAGAACUUUUGGAUGCACAAGGCUACAUUCCUGGAAGUGUGCGUGGAACUCGCCCCAGCCCUCUGGCUCAGCAACACCAAAAUCAGAGCUGCACUGAAGUGGAGAAGCAAGUGAUGAUUGCUCUGGGGAAGCCUGCAAGGCCAGAUUACUACUGAUCAGUCAGGAACCACCCCGAGCCUUCAGGAGCUAGCCAGAGACUGAGCCACAUAAUGCUUGAUCUGCAAGGAGGCAGCAUCCUUUCAGGAUUUGUGGAGAUGAUAACAUGGGAACGUGGCUUGGGCAUAAUCUCAGGUGCGAAUGGACCUGCUCUAGGUACACGGGGGUGUCCUCACGGGGAGAGGCCAGUGCAGUGAUGCCCCUUCUCUGGGCAGACAAGUGCUGUGUCUACACCACAACUGCAGUAGUGGCACAGAUCAGUGCUGCAGCUACGCCGCUGUGGUGUCAUGAUGCAGAUUCUACAGCAAUGGAAGGGGCUUUGCCAUUGCUUAGUUAAUCCAUCCUUCCAAGCUGGGUGAACCUAAGCUUUACGUGUCGACCAGACCAAGCCUCAGCCUCGUUCAACUGGAGUAAGGGCAUCCACAUGGCCCUCAGCGUCGCUUUAACUGCAUGGGCUCAUGCUCGCACGCUCAGUCCAACAAGUGCACCUGCCCUGUGUCCACCAGGCCUCCGUGGAUCAGUUCUGCUGACUCCCUGUGAACCAGCUCCAGGAACAGCCCCUACGCCCCAUGUGUCCCAGAACCAGCUGUGCCAAGAGGGGUUUGUUUGCUCAGCAUGUUCCAGGAACACAUAUUUCACAAUCCAAUGAUAUAAAUAAAACCACAGUGCAGGGCACAAGGGUCACUUCUCCUCUGUGGGCUUAGUCGCACACACCCUCUGGGUCGCUGCAGGGUGGUGAAGAGGGAGGGGUCUCUGCAGUGAGAGGCCUGUCACACCCCCUGUCUCCUUGGGUGCCUGCCCCAUCUCCCCAGUCUCCCAGCCUGUGACCAUCACACGGAGCUCAGCCUGCCUCUCUCAGAAGGACAGUCGCCUGCCCUAACCCCUGGCCACGCUGCCCCACAAGGACUGUGCUAUGAACAUGGGGUUUCCCGGGUGCCUCCUGCUCCCAGCUGGGCACCCCCUUGGCAGGAGCUCGUCUGCCUGCACUGAAGCCGGGAACACAAAGAUCCCCAUCCUCCUGGCCUGGCUUUGGGCUUCCGUGACAGGAUUCUCCAUGGCAGGUUCAGCCAUUCCAGAUCCAGCUCCACUCCGAUUGGUGAACGGCCCAAAUCGAUGCACCGGGAGAGUCGAGGUGCUUCAUAACCAGCAGUGGGGAACCGUGUGUGACGACAGCUGGGACUUACAUGAUGCCACUGUCGUGUGCAGGCAGCUGGGCUGUGGGACGGCAUUAUCAGCCCCAGGGGAGGCCUGGUUUGGGCAAGGAUCUGACAAUAUCUGGCUGGAUGAGACUAACUGCACAGGGACAGAAGCUGCCCUCUCUGAAUGCAGGGCUAGGCCUUGGGGAGACAAUACGUGUAACCACGUGGAAGAUGCUGGUGUCAAGUGCUCAGGACCAGCUGAUGCUGAUACGGCUCCAAUCCGACUGGUGAAUGGCCCCAGUCGCUGCGCUGGGAGAGUCGAGGUGCUUUAUAACCAGCACUGGGGAAGCAUAUGUGAUGACAGCUGGGACUUAUAUGAUGCCAGAGUUGUGUGCAGGCAGCUUGGCUGCGGGAUGCCAUUAUCAGCCCCAGUUGGGGCUCGCUUUGGACAAGGAUCUAAUGCUGUCUGGCUGGAUGACGUUCACUGCAUAGGGACAGAAGCAGCCCUCUCCGAAUGCAACAUUAGGCCUUGGGGAGACCAUAACUGUAACCACACACAAGAUGCCAGUGUUGUGUGCUCAGACGUGCAGGAGCUCCAGCUGGUGAAUGGCCCCAAUCGCUGCGCUGGGAGGGUUGAGGUGCUUCACAACCAUCAGUGGGGAACCGUGUGUGAUCACGACUGGGACUUACAGGAUGCUGGAGUCGUGUGCAGGCAGCUGGGCUGCGGGACGGUGUUAUCAGCCCCAGGCGGGGCUCAGUUUGGGCGAGGAUCUGAUCCCAUCUGGCUGGAUGAUUUGCACUGCACCGGGACAGAAGCUGCCCUCUCCGAAUGCAGGGCUAGGCCCUGGGCAGACAAUAACUGUAACCACGGAGAAGAUGCCGGUGUUGUGUGCUCAGGUCCAGUCAUUCCUGACAGGGCUCAGCUCCGAUUGGUGAAUGGCCCCAAUCACUGCGCUGGGAGAGUUGAGGUGCUUCACAACCAGCAGUGGGGAACCGUGUGUGAUGACAGCUGGGACUUGCAGGACGCUGGAGUUGUGUGCAGGCAGCUGGGCUGUGGGACGGCAUUAUCAGCCCCAGGCGGAGCUCUAUUUGAGCAAGGAUCUGAUCCCAUAUGGCUGGAUGAGGUCAGCUGCACAGGGACAGAAGUUACCCUCUUCAGAUGCAGGGCUCAGCCUUGGGGAGACAAUAACUGUCACCAUGGAGAAGAUGCUGGUGUUGUGUGCUCAGAUUCAGCCCUUCCAGACGUGGCUCUGAUCCAACUGGUGAACGGUUCGAGUCGCUGCGAUGGGAGAGUCGAGGUGCUCCACAACCAGCAGUGGGGAACCGUGUGUCAGGACAGCUGGGACUUACAGAAUGCCGGAGUCGUGUGCAGGCAGCUGGGCUGUGGGACGGCGUUAUCAGCCCCGGGCGAGGCUCGCUUUGGGGAAGGAUCUGGCCCUAUCUGGCUGGACAAUGUUCACUGCACAGGGACAGAAACUGCCCUCUCCGAUUGCAGGGCUCGGCCUUGGGGAGACCAUAAGUGUAGCCACAAAGAAGAUGCCGGUGUUGUGUGCUCAGAAGCAACUCGUCUCCGGCUGGUGAACGGCCCCAAUCGCUGCGCUGGGAGAGUCGAGGUGCUUCAUUAUCAUCAGUGGGGAACCGUGUGUGAUGGCGGCUGGGACUUACAGGAUGCUGGAGUCGUGUGCAGGCAACUGGGCUGUGGGACGGCAUUAUCAGCCCAAGGGGGGGCUCACUUUGGGAGAGGAUCUGACCCCAUCUGGCUGGAUGAGAUUACCUGCACAGGGAUGGAAGUUGCUCUCACGGAAUGCAGGGCUCGGCCUUGGGCUGACAAUAAGUGUACUCAUGGAAAAGACGCCGGUGUUGUGUGCUCAGGUAACCCUCACCCAUGUCACCACUUACCUGCCAUGAGUGAGUUCUGUGCUGCAGGGAGGAUGUGGUUGUCCCUGCAGGAGGCUCUAUCCCCUCCAAGUCCGUGCUCACCCCAAUGGCCAGAACUCUUACAAGCAGCCAUGUGCUGGCAGGAGGGAUGCAGGUGAGUCAGAAGGGGGCUUUCUUCCCUAGUUGCUCUGUUCAAGUCUCAGUGCACCAGAUACUGCAGUGAGCAGCUCAGCAGGAGAGGCUCUCACCUUUGAAGCACUAAUGACCCUGCGAUGCCAAGGACGGAUUGGGGAAGUGAUGCUGCAGGGAGCGGGAUGUGUGAAUUCAGCCUUUCCCAGUAAGGCUCUGAUCCGACUGGUGAAUGGCCCGAAUCACUGCGCUGGGAGGGUCGAGGUGCUUCACAACCAGCAGUGGGGAACCGUGUGUGAUCACAGCUGGGACUUACAGGAUGCCGGAG